rnacentral:rRNA from 1 species
CCUACGGGUGGCAGCAGUGAGGAAUAUUGGUCAAUGGGCUUACGCCUGAACCAGCCAAGUCGCGUGAGGGAAGACUGCCCUAUGGGUUGUAAACCUCUUUUGUCAGGGAGCAACGCCGGCUACGUGUAGCCGGACUGAGAGUACCUGAAGAAAAAGCAUCGGCUAACUCCGUGCCAGCAGCCGCGGUAAUACGGAGGAUGCGAGCGUUAUCCGGAUUUAUUGGGUUUAAAGGGUGCGUAGGCGGAAUGCCAAGUCAGCGGUAAAAUCGCGGGGCUCAACCUCGUUGCGCCGUUGAAACUGGCGUUCUUGAGUGGGCGAGAAGUAUGCGGAAUGCGUGGUGUAGCGGUGAAAUGCAUAGAUAUCGCGCAGAACCCCGAUUGCGAAGGCAGCGUGCCGUGCCGCCACUGACGCUGAGGCACGAAAGCGCGGGGAUCGAACAGGAUUAGAUACCCCUGUAGUC